rnacentral:rRNA from 1 species
CAGGCCUUGACAUGUCCAGUUUGAUCGCCAGAGAUGGCUUUCUUCACUUCGGGUGGCUGGAACACAGGUGCUGCAUGGCUGUCGUCAGCUCGUGUCGUGAGAUGUUGGGUUAAGUCCCGCAACGAGCGCAACCCUCGUCCUUAGUUGCCAUCAUUAAGUUGGGAACUCUAAGGAAACUGCCUAUGAUAAGUAGGAGGAAGGUGGGGACGACGUCAAGUCAUCAUGGCCCUUACGGCCUGGGCUACACACGUGCUACAAUGGUAGUGACAAUGGGCAGCGAACUCGCGAGGGUAAGCUAAUCCCUAAAAACUAUCUCAGUUCGGAUUGUACUCUGCAACUCGAGUACAUGAAGUUGGAAUCGCUAGUAAUCGUAGAUCAGCAUGCUACGGUGAAUA